GAUGAACGCUGGCGGCGUGCUUAACACAUGCAAGUCGAACGGUGAAGGCGGAGCUUGCUCUGCUGGAUCAUUGGCGAACGGGUGAGUAACACGUGAGCAAUCUGCCCCUGACUCUGGGAUAAGCGCUGGAAACGGCGGCUAAUAUUGGAUACGAUCUGCUAAGGCAUCUUCAGCAGCUGUAAAGAACUUCGGUCAGGGAUGGGCUCGCGGCUUACCAGCUGGUUGGUGAGGUAGCGGCUCACGAAGGCGUCGACGGGUAGCCGGCAUGAGAGGGUGAACGGGCACCCUGGGACUGAGACACGGAGCAGAAUGCUACGGGAGGCAACAGUGGGGAAUCUUGCACAAUGGGCGAACGCCUGAGGCAGCAACGCCGCGUGAGGGAAGACGGCCUUCUGGUUGUAAACCUCUUUUAGCAGGGAAGAAGAGAAAGUGACGGUACCUGCAGAAAAAGCGCCGGCUAACUACGUG
rnacentral:rRNA from 1 species